rnacentral:rRNA from 1 species
UGGGGAAUAUUGGAUAAUGGGCGAAAGUCUGAACCAGCAACGCCGCGUGCACGAUGACGGCCUUCGGGUUGUAAAGUGCUUUUUGGAGGGAAGAGGAAGGACGGUACCUCCAGAAUAAGUCUCGGCUAACUACGUGCCAGCAGCCGCGGUAACACGUAGGAGACAAGCGUUAUUCGGAUUUACUGGGCGUAAAGCGCGUGCAGGCGGUCUGACAAGUUGGAUGUGAAAGCUCCUGGCUUAACUGGGAGAGGUCGUUCAAAACUAUCAGACUAGAGAGCAGUAGAGGAAGGCGGAAUUCCGAGUGUAGUGGUGAAAUGCGUAGAUAUCCGGAAGAACACCAGUGGCGAAAGCGGCCUUCUGGAC